UGGCUGUGGCAGGCAGCUACACAUGCAGUCGAGCGGAACGGCAGUAUUGAAGCUUCGGUGGAUUUACUGGACGUCGAGCGGCGGACGGGUGAGUAACGGCUGGGAACCUGCCCUGACGAGGGGGAUAACCGUUGGAAACGACGGCUAAUACCGCAUAAUGUCUUGAUUCCUUAGAGUCCCGACCAAAGGUGGCCUCUACAUGUAAGCUAUCCCGUUGGGAUGGGCCCAGUUAGGAUUAUCUAGUUGGUAAGGUAAUGGCUUACCAAGGCGACUAUCCUUAACUGGUUUGAGAGGAUGAUCAGCCACACUGGGACUGAUACACGGCCCAGACUCCUACGGGAGGCAUCAGUGGGGAAUAUUGCACUGUGGGGGAGACCCUGAUGCAGCCAUGCCGCGUGUGUGAAUAAGGCCUUCGGGUUGUAAAGCACUUUCACCAGUGAGGAAGGUCUUGUACUUAAUACGUGCACGGCUUGACAUUCGCUGCAGAAGAACCACCGGCUAACUCCGUGCCAACAGCCGCGGUAAUACUGAGGGUGCAAUCGUUAAUCUGAAUUACUGGGCGUAAAGCUCAUGCAUGCGAUUUGUUAACUCAGAUGUGAAACCCCGGGGCUCAACCUCGGAACCGCAGUUGAAACUGGCAGGCUAGAGUCUUGUAUAGGGGGGUAGAAUUUCAAGUGUAACAGUGAAAUGCGUAUAGAUCUGAAGGAAUACCACUGGCGAACGCGGACCCCUGGACAAAUACUGACGCUCAGAUGCCAAAGCGUGUGUAACACACAGGAUUACAUACCCUGGUACUCCACCCCGUAGACGCUGUCUACUUGAAAGUUGAGGUUUUAGACUUUGGCUUUCGGCGCUAACGCAUUAAGUAUACCGCCUGGGGAGUACAGCCGCAAUGUUAAACUCAGAUGAAUUGACGGGGGCCCGCACGAGCUGUAGAUCAUGUGAUUUAAUUCAAUGCUACGCACACAACAUUACCUACUCUUGACAUCCAGCGAAGCCUUUACAGAUAGAAGCGUGCCUACAGGAGCGCUGAGACUGUGCCUACAUGGCUGUCGUCAACGUCUGGUGUGAAAUGUCAGUAACGUCCCCGCUUACUACCUGCUAUCGCCUAUCCUGAUUGGUCAGCACCUUCAUGGUAGAGCUACUCCUGUAAGACUGCAGGUAGAGUUAGGCGAGCAGCAUCGUGUCGUACUAGCGUCAUGUUCAUCAUAGCCCUUACAGUACGUCAUCGCACAGGCUACAUUGCCAGAUACCCAGACGGUCAUGUCUGAGACACACGCCCACGUUUAUAAAGUUUGUCGUAGUCCGGAUUGGAGUCUGCAACUCGACUCCAUGAAGUCGGAAUCGCUAGUAAUCGUGGAUCAGAAUGCCACGGUGAAUACGUUCCCGGGCCUUGUACACACCGCCCGUCACACCAUGGGAGUGGGCUGCACCAGAAGUAGAUAGCUUAACCUUCGGGAGGGCGUACACGGA
rnacentral:rRNA from 1 species